CAAUAGCGUAUAUUAAAGCUGUUGCGGUUAAAAAGCUCGUAGUUGGAUUUCUGUCAGGGACAACUGGUCCGCCCUCCGGGUGAGCACAUAGUUUGGUCUUGGCAUCUUGCUGGAAACUGUUGCUGCGCUUGGUUGUGUGGUGCAGCUUUCAGCACUUUCACUUUGAGGAAAUUGGAGUGUUUCAAGCAGGCACAUGCCUUUGGACACAGUAGCAUGGAAUAAUUAGAUUGGGCUUUUGCUCCAACUUGUUGGUUCCUGGAGCUGAGGUGAGAAUCAAUGGGGAUUGUUGGGGGCAUCCGAAUUUAGCCGUCAGAGGUGAAAUUCUUGGAUCUGCUAAAGACGGACAACUGCGAAAGCGUUUGCCCAGGAUGUUUNCAUUGA
rnacentral:rRNA from 1 species